rnacentral:antisense_RNA from 1 species
AAAUGUGGUCUGCCCUGCCUCAGGCUGGCUGUGACCUUGAGCUGGUGACGUCCCUGCCUCAGUUUCCUCACCUUCUGAUGGAGAUGGGAGGGGAAGAAAGCAGCUGCCUCUGGGUGGUGGCAGAGAUGCCCAUGUCUAGGACCUCCAGGCCUUACUUAACUAAUCAGGGACACUGAUGAAGCCAGCGGGGCUCCACUGGGGACCACAGGCAAGACUGGGCCAGGACGAGGCGGUCACGCAGAGAAAGAAGAUAAAGGGAACAGAAGAGAAAAUUCAAAAGUCCCCAGAGCGUCCAGGAUUUUUGGUUUCAAACCAAUUUCCUGCUGACCAGAAUGAAAUGGAGCCACAUUCCAGCACCAUGCACCUGCUGAUGUCCUGCAAGUCAGGGACCUUCUCUGCCCCUCUUUUGCUCCGCUGCAGGAGGGGGAAGUUGGGAAUGUGCUCCUCUGGAGUCCCAUCACCUCCAGCCAGCCACUGUCCCUGUCUCCCCAAAACCUCCUCGUUGUCCCUCCUCUGUCCUCCUCCUCCUCCAUCUGCCUUCGCCCUGCUCUCCUCAUUUUCACCUGAGG